CUCCACUACAUCACCCAACCAUAGUCCUAAUAUAUAACCAUGGCUCCAAUACAUCACCCCAACCAUAGUCCUAAUAUAUAACCAUGGCUCCACUACAUCAGACCAACCAUAGUCCUAAUAUAUAACCAUAGCUCUAAUACAUCACCCCAACCAUAGUCCUAAUAAAUAACCAUGGCUCCACUACAUCACCCCAACCAUAGUCCUAAUAUAUAACCAUGGCUCCACUACAUCACCCAAACUAGUCCUAACAUAUAACCAUGGCUCCAAUACAUCACCCCAACCAUAGUCCUAAUAUAUAACCAUGGCUCCAAUACAUCACC